GAUCUGGUGGCACAGUCGGUUAGAACUUAGUGCGUCUGCUGAUAGUAUGUGAGCGAAUCUGUGAAGUAGAAAUCAAGGCCUCGGUUCGAUUCCGGGUCAGAUCA